rnacentral:misc_RNA from 1 species
GAUGAAGAACGCAACGAAAUGCGAUAAGUAAUGUGAAUUGCAGAAUUCAGUGAAUCAUCGAAUCUUUGAACGCACAUUGCGCCCGCCAGUAUUCUGGCGGGCAUGCCUGUUCGAGCGUCAUUUCAACCAUCAAGCCCCCGGCUUGUGUUGGGGACCUGCGGCUGCCGCAGGCCCUGAAAAGCAGUGGCGGGCUCGCUGUCACACCGAGCGUAGUAGCAUACAUCUCGCUCUGGGCGUGCUGCGGGUUCCGGCCGUUAAACCACCUUCAUAACCCAAGGUUGACCUCGGAUCAGGUAGGAAGACCCGCUGAACUUAAGCAUAUCAAUAAGCGGAGGA